rnacentral:rRNA from 1 species
UGGGGAAUAUUGGGAAAUGGGGGCAACCCUGACCCAGCGACGCCGCGUGGGUGAAGAAAUCCCUCGGGAUGUAAAGCCCUGUUGUAUGGGAAGAGCAGAAGACGGUACCAUACGAGGAAGCCCCGGCAAACUGCGUGCCAGCAGCCGCGGUAAUACGUAGGGGGCAAGCGUUGUCCGGAAUUACUGGGCGUAAAGCGCACGCAGGCUGAAUUAUAAGUCGGUAGUCAAAUACGGAGGCUCAACCUUCGUCUAUCUAUCGAUACUGUAAAUCUAGAGUAUGUGAGAGGGAAGCGGAAUUCCCGGUGUAGCCGUGAAAUGCGUAGAUAUCGGGAGGAACACCAGUGGCGAAGGCGGCUUCCUGGCACAAUACUGACGCUCAUGUGCGAAAGCUAGGGCAGCGAACG